rnacentral:sRNA from 1 species
UACGUGUAUAAUGGAAAACUACCAAGGGU